rnacentral:tRNA from 1 species
CGGGAUAUAGUAAACGGUUAAGCGGCACGUCAUCAACGUGCAGGUGUUGGUUCGACUCCGACAGUCCCGACCA